GGGGGGUGCAAGCGUUAUUCGGAAUCACUGGGCGUAAAGAGCGCGUAGGCGGUCUCUUAAGUCAGAUGUGAAAGCCCGGGGCUCAACCCCGGAAGUGCAUUUGAAACGAAGGGACUUGAGUAUGGGAGAGGGAAGUGGAAUUCCUGGUGUAGCGGUGAAAUGCGUAGAUAUCAGGAGGAACACCGGUGGCGAUGGCGACUUCCUGGACCAAUACUGACGCUGAGGCGCGAAGGCGUGGGGAGCAAACAGGGAUUAGAUACCCUGGUAGUCCACGCAGUAAACGUUGAACACUAGGUGUAGCGGGUAUUGACCCCCCUGCUGUGCCGCAGCUAACGCAUUAAGUGUUCCGCCUGGGAGUACGGCCGCAAGGCUA
rnacentral:rRNA from 1 species